rnacentral:miRNA from 1 species
GCAGACCCAUUCCAGCCAAUCAGUAGCAGACCCUCCCUCCCAGACUCUCCCACCUCCUGGACAGCAUCCAUUUUACAUUCAUUGUGAAGCUGCAUUCUUAGUGAGCUGUCCAGGAGGUGGAAGGGUCUGGGAGGGAGGGUCUGCUGCUGAUUGGCUGGAAUGGGUCUG